rnacentral:rRNA from 1 species
AGAGUUUGAUCAUGGCUCAGAACGAACGCUGGCGGCGUGCUUAACACAUGCAAGUCGAACGCGAAAGUUUUCUUCGGAAAGCGAGUAGAGUGGCGCACGGGUGAGUAACGCGUAAGUAAUCUACCCUGGUAUCUGGGAUAACCCACCGAAAGGUGUGCUAAUACCGGAUACGCUGAGUAAUCAGGAAAGGUGGCCUCUUCAUGAAAGCUACUGUACCAGGAGGAGCUUGCGUACCAUUAGCUAGUUGGUAGGGUAAUGGCCUACCAAGGCAACGAUGGUUAGCGGGUCUGAGAGGAUGAUCCGCCACACUGGAACUGGAACACGGACCAGACUCCUACGGGAGGCAGCAGUGAGGAAUAUUGCGCAAUGGGGGAAACCCUGACGCAGCGACGCCGCGUGGAUGAUGAAGGCCUUCGGGUCGUAAAAUCCUGUCAGGUGGAAAGAAAUGUAUUAUGCCUAAUACGUGUAAUAUUUGACGGUACCACCAAAGGAAGCACCGGCUAACUCCGUGCCAGCAGCCGCGGUAAUACGGAGGGUGCAAGCGUUGUUCGGAAUUACUGGGCGUAAAGCGCGCGUAGGCGGUUUGUUAAGUCAGAUGUGAAAGUCCACGGCUCAACCGUGGAAGUGCAUUUGAAACUGGCAGACUUGAGUACUGGAGGGGGUGGUGGAAUUCCCGGUGUAGAGGUGAAAUUCGUAGAUAUCGGGAGGAAUACCGGUGGCGAAGGCGACCACCUGGCCAGAUACUGACGCUGAGGUGCGAAAGCGUGGGGAGCAAACAGGAUUAGAUACCCUAGUAGUCC